rnacentral:rRNA from 1 species
UACGAAGGGGGCUAGCGUUGCUCGGAAUCACUGGGCGUAAAGCGCACGUAGGCGGCUUUCUAAGUCAGGGGUGAAAUCCUGGAGCUCAACUCCAGAACUGCCUUUGAUACUGGAGAGCUUGAGUCCGGAAGAGGUGAGUGGAACUCCGAGUGUAGAGGUGAAAUUCGUAGAUAUUCGGAAGAACACCAGUGGCGAAGGCGGCUCACUGGUCCGGUACUGACGCUGAUGUGCGAAAGCGUGGGGAGCAAAACGG